rnacentral:misc_RNA from 1 species
GAUGAAGAACGUAGCGAAAUGCGAUACGUAGUGUGAAUUGCAGAAUUCAGUGAAUCAUCGAAUCUUUGAACGCACAUUGCACCUCUCGGUAUUCCGGGAGGUAUGCCUGUUCGAGCGUCAUUUGUACCCUCAAGCUCUGCUUGGUGUUGGGUGUUUGUUCCGCCUCUGUGUGUGAACUCGCCUCAAAACAAUUGGCAGCCGGCGUAAUUGUUUCGGAGCGCAGCACAUUUUGCGAUCCAGAUCAACGUACAGCGGCAUCCAAGAAGCCUUAUUUAACGCUCUUGACCUCGGAUCAGGUAGGGAUACCCGCUGAACUUAAGCAUAUCAAUAAGCGGAGGA